CAUUUAUCAAAGUCAUGUGAUGAAUUGUCUUUUUUUUAACAAAAUGUAUAUCAUUUAUAGAAGCGUAUAUGCAAUUCCGUACCGUUGUCAGCCACCUUCUAAAUGUUGUUAUCGUAUGGGUGAUCUAUUUAUCCAACUACAUGAACCUAUACAUGUUAUCCUAAGAUAAUGAGAAAUUAUGAUACCAUCUUAAACUCUGUAUUUCCAGACUUUGUAGGAAAUACGCAAUUUGAGCCCAUGAAAUUUGCAUGAUGAUAUUAGCUUAUUAUCACUUACAGUCUCUGUAGGAAAUACUAUUAUAUUCUAUUACAGUUCUGGAACAAUGAUGACGAGACCUUACUAUGAGCUGCAACUUUAUCUAUAAGCUUGCUUUCCCAUAGUGUUGACGAAUCUUUUCAAGCAUUAUGAGUUCAGGCUAUGGAGGAGCUCAGAAACAUAUCCUGCUGAAGAACACAAUGGAGCAUCUUUCUGCUCAUUUCACAGAAGAACACAUAAGAGUGAUGCCUCAAUCAAGGUAGAUCUGAGGAUAGAACCCUAGGUGGUUACCAUCGAUGGUGCUGGCAGCAAGCUCCUGGGUGACUACUUCAUGAUGACCAUUACUGGUUUCCUUCAUGGCUAUUGUAAAAUGGUGCUUCAUAUGUCAUGUUUCUAUAUCUGAAAAAGGAAUUGACAACUCAAUGUGCCUCGCAAGAUACAACCGCGGUUACGAGAAGUAGGACAGGCUGAAGCAACACCAUUGGCGGUUGCAUCGUCACGCUCCUCAUCAUCGAAAAUAUGUCACUCCCGAGUCAUCUUCGUAUCACCUCCAGUAAGUGCUUGGAAUUGAAUCUGAGGGCAAGUAUCGUCACACAAUGCAAAGUUUAGUUUUGAAAUGGUGUGGCUGAUUAACAAACAAAUUCAUGGCCAUUAGUCAGGCACCCCGCACACAUGGAGAAGGGGUCAUGGCAGCGCUGGAUCCGGUGGCCAACCGUCGCUUGUCCUCUUUUCCAUGCAAUCCAUGCUGCUCUACUCCGGCCAGGUCUCUGGAGUCAUGGAGCUUAACGAGGUCUCCGACCAGUUUGCCACAUAACUUGUAUAUCUUGGAGACAUAUUCGUGUUCUAGGUCACAGAAACAAAAUUUAGAGUUAAUUUGCAUGACUCAAAAUAUUUUGGCUCAACAAUUUCCUGCAUUAUAUAUCUUUUGGUGCUUAGUUCUUUUUGUGAAUUCUACAAUUUGUAGCUUUGAGCUAAACUGACGCUCGUUUUUAGUGAAGUUACA